rnacentral:rRNA from 1 species
UACAGAGGGUGCAAGCGUUAAUCGGAAUUACUGGGCGUAAAGCGCGCGUAGGUGGUUUGUUUAAGUUGGAUGUGAAAGCCCCGGGCUCAACCUGGGGAACUGCAUUCAAAAACUGACAAGCUAGAGUAUGGUAGAGGGUGGUGGAAUUUUCCUGUGUAGCGGUGAAAUGCGUAGAUAUAGGAAGGAACACCAGUGGCGAAGGCGACCACCUGGACUGAUACUGACACUGAGGUGCGAAAAGC